UGGUGCAUGGCCGUUCUUAGUUGGUGGAGUGAUUUGUCUGGUUAAUUCCGAUAACGAACGAGACCUUUACCAUACUAAAUAGUUUGAUCUAUAAUUUUUUAUAGAUUUAUUUAUAAACUUCUUAGAGGGACUAUUGGUUUCUAAACCAAAGGAAGUAAAGGCGAUAACAGGUCUGUGAUGCCCUUAGAUGUUCUGGGCUGCACGCGCGCUACAAUGAUAAACUCAAACGAGUUAUAUUUUAUUUUAUUCGUUUACCGGAAGGUAUGGCUAAUCUUAAACGUUUAUCGUGCUUGGGAUAGAUGAUUGCAAUUAUUUAUCUUGAACCAGGAAUUCCUAGUAAUCGUAUAUCAUCAGUGUGCGAUGAUUACGUCCCUGCCCCUUGUACACACCG
rnacentral:rRNA from 1 species